rnacentral:rRNA from 1 species
AGAGUUUGAUCCUGGCUCAGGAUGAACGCUGGCGGCGUGCCUAACACAUGCAAGUCGAACGAAGCUUGACGGAUGAUUUCUUCGGAAUGAAACCUGAUAUGACUUAGUGGCGGACGGGUGAGUAACACGUGAGCAACCUGCCUUUCAGAGGGGGAUAACGGCUGGAAACGGUCGCUAAUACCGCAUGACGUGUUCGGAUGGCAUCAUCUGAACAUCAAAGAUUUAUCGCUGAAAGAUGGGCUCGCGUCUGAUUAGAUAGUUGGUGGGGUAACGGCCUACCAAGUCUACGAUCAGUAGCCGGACUGAGAGGUUGAACGGCCACAUUGGGACUGAGAUACGGCCCAGACUCCUACGGGAGGCAGCAGUGGGGAAUAUUGCACAAUGGGGGAAACCCUGAUGCAGCAACGCCGCGUGAAGGAUGACGGUUUUCGGAUUGUAAACUUCUUUUCUUAGUGACGAAGACAGUGACGGUAGCUAAGGAAUAAGCAUCGGCUAACUACGUGCCAGCAGCCGCGGUAAUACGUAGGAUGCAAGCGUUAUCCGGAUUUACUGGGUGUAAAGGGAGCGCAGGCGGGACUGCAAGUUGGAUGUGAAAUACCGUGGCUUAACCACGGAACUGCAUCCAAAACUGUAGUUCUUGAGUGAAGUAGAGGCAAGCGGAAUUCCGAGUGUAGCGGUGAAAUGCGUAGAUAUUCGGAGGAACACCAGUGGCGAAGGCGGCUUGCUGGGCUUUAACUGACGCUGAGGCUCGAAAGUGUGGGGAGCAAACAGGAUUAGAUACCCUGGUAGUCCACACUGUAAACGAUGAUAGCUAGGUGUGGGGGGUCUGACCCCUUCCGUGCCGGAGUUAACGCAAUAAGCUAUCCACCUGGGGAGUACGACCGCAAGGUUGAAACUCAAAGGAAUUGACGGGGGCCCGCACAAGCAGUGGAGUAUGUGGUUUAAUUCGA